ACGUACGCUGGCGGCCGCUCACCAUGCAAGUCGAACGAAGUACAAUAUUAGUGGCAGACGGGUGAGUAACAUGUAGGUAUCUGCCCUUGGCCUGGAAUAACACGAGGAAACUUGUGCUAAUACCGGAUAAGUCUUUACGGAGAAAGCUUUAUGCACCAUUGGAUGAGCCUGCAUUUGAUUAGUUUGUUGGUGGGGUAAUGGCCUACCAAGACUGUGAUCAAUAGCUGAUUUGAGAGGAUGAUCAGCCACAUUGGGACUGAGACACGGCCCAAACUCCUACGGGAGGCAGCAGUGGGGAAUCUUGCACAAUGGAGGAAACUCUGAUGCAGCGAUGCCGCGUGAGUGAAGAAGGCCUUUGGGUUGUACAGCUCUUUCGUCGGGGAAGAAAAUGACUGUACCCGAAUAAGAAGGUCCGGAUAACUUCGUGCCAGCAGCCGCGGUAAUACGAAGGGACCUAGCGUAGUUCGGAAUUACUGGGCUUAAAGAGUUCGUAGGUGGUUGAAAAAGUUAGUGGUGAAAUCCCAGAGCUUAACUCUGGAACUGCCAUUAAAACUUUUCAGCUAGAGUAUGAUAGAGGAAAGCAGAAUUUCUAGUGUAGAGGUGAAAUUCGUAGAUUUUAGAAAGAAUCACCAUUGCGAAAGCAGCUUCUGGAUCCUUACUGACACUGAGGAACGAAAGCUUGGGUAGCGCAAGAGGAUAGAUACCCUCGUAGUCAUGCCGUAACGAUGUGUGUUUGACGUUGGAA
rnacentral:rRNA from 1 species